rnacentral:tRNA from 1 species
AAUGAUAUGACUCAGUUGUAGAGUACCUACCUGGUAAGUAUGAAGUCCUAAAUUCAAGCCCUAGUACCACUA